rnacentral:rRNA from 1 species
UACAGAGGGUGCGAGCGUUGUUCGGAAUUAUUGGGCGUAAAGGGCGCGUAGGCGGUGCGGUAAGUCACCUGUGAAAUCUCCUGGCUCAACUGGGAGCUUGCAGGCGAAACUGCCGUGCUGGAGUGUGGGAGAGGUGCGUGGAAUUCCUGGUGUAGCGGUGAAAUGCGUAGAUAUCGGGAGGAACACCAGUGGCGAAGGCGGCGACCUGGGCCAAUAUUGACGCUGAGGUGCGAAAGCGUGGGGAGCAAACAGG